ACAUCUACAGGAACGUAAAGGUUUCCCUAGCCUGGUACACACUGGUGAACCCUUCUGGUGAACACGUUUUUGCUAAAAACGUGUGCGCGGACGCUUAACAUGCAUAUAGCUCUAUGCAUAUGCAGCUCUAAAAUAGUGAAGGACAAAUAUAACCUAAAAAUAUCUAAUAUAUAUAGCUUAUUGACGCUAGAUAUCACUAUCAGAUGAAAAAUAAUUACACACUGAACGCGUCCAGUUACCUGAAGGACAAGCGGCUGCGUUUAUUGGUGGUCGCGUGAAGGCAGAAAAAAAUGAUUGACAGCAGAGAGGUAAGCAAACUUCGUGAUGCAACUCGGCUGUAACAGCGAGCUAUAGGGCAACCCAGUGAGAGCACCAUUUAAUACAUUCUCUACUACUUCAAAUAGCAAAUACAGACAUCAUGAAUACGGAGGAAGCGUUUUCUCUCCGCGCAUUGAACCAUCGGUUUUACUACGGCAGGGUGCGCGCGCUCAGUGCUGACAGCUAACACACACCGGCGCUCUCUCUCUCUCACUCUCUCUCUCUCUCUCUCUCACACACACACACACGCAUACAUACACAACACACACACACACAACACAUGCGCGCGCGCACACACACACACAUACACACAAACGCACGCACACACGCACGCGCGCACGCACUCGCUUUCACCACGUUCAGUUUUUCCAUCACGGAGCGAAUUGGUGAAGAAUUGCCGGGCCACUUGGUCUACCCACUUCCCGUGAGCUUUAUACACGAACCCGAGCGGAAAAAAAGGCGAGCGUCCUGUAUUGCUCCGCGCUAACUUUGCCGUAGACGCGGGUGCGAGCGCUGGCUGGAGCACGUGACCCGAGCUGAUCCGCCGGUUUUGUUAGGGUGGAGGAUUUCUGGGUUUGUGUACAUAAGGUCGUGUGCUUGUGUUUUCUCUCUCUCUCUCUCUCUCUCUCUCUCGCUCUCUCUCUCGUUACUCCAAGUGCCACCGCUCCGCCUCCUCUUUUCGCAACAUUGACGCAAUGUAUAAAUGCUGGAACAAAAGGACAACUUCCUUGAAGCUUGGCGUAUAAUUGCAAAAAGAGAGAGAGAGAAAGAGAGAGAGAGAGAGAGAGAAAGAAAGAGAGAGAGAGAGAGAGAGAUACAGCCGCCUCGACUGGCGCGCGCUAACCGGAGCCCGGUGUGCCAGUUUGCUGGAAUAUUAUUUCUGAUUUUCGGCUCUGCGUGCACAUUAUGAUGUGAUGGGUUUCCUAUAGCGCUGCUUUCCAGGUUUCCACCGCUGAAAACAAUUAAAGUGGUUACACACACAAUGCCAGCUAAAGACAGUGGCAUCUCUGAAUCAUGCCAUGGGUUGGAAGCCCCGGUCUGUCCGGUUGCGCGCGCGGGCGGGCUAGCGCGUCUGUGUUUUCGGUCGCGCGCGAGUGCGUUUGCGCGUGCGCGCGCUCGCGCGGGGGGCCUGGCGGUGCCGUAGCAGCACAGAAUGGUUUGUGAGUUUUUUUAAAGAGGGUGCAGGCCGUGCUGUGCUGCGGCAGCAACGCCGGGACAAGCGCGCUUCCGAAUCAAAAGGAAAGGAAAGUAUGCAAAAACGGUAGCUUUGUGAACGUCACUGUGUGUGUGCGUGUGUGUGUGUGUGGCUCCUGACCAUCGCCGCGACUGGCUGCCUGGCUGUAGCAGCACGUAAAUAUUGGAGUUAAACCAAUAGUGAAUCCUCCAGUAUUGACCGUGCUGCUGAAGUUAGGCGGGCCGUUUACCGUCCACUCCGCUCUGCGUCUGCUCACGCUGCACAAGUCUCAGCCACGGAGAGGGGAAAGGGGAGGUAGGUCAUCUCUCACUACAGCAUGCCAACAACCGUGAAAUAUUAAGUCUGAGCGGGCCUCCUUCAGCACUCUGAUAAUUGCCAGUGUUUUGAAGAAUGUAGUAGUUAACGUGACAUUUGUUUGUACAAGGAGCCUGAAUUGAUUAGAAGUAUAUUGCAUAUGUAUACAUACAUGUUUAAGGCCAUAACCUUUUAUGUGGCAUAAAUGAUUACUGUGGAUUCAUAGUGCAAUGUCAGAUUGCUAUGUAAUUGUUGUACAGAUGAUUUAUUGUGCAAGAAAAUAAAGUAACAUCCAAAUAAAGCUUAAA